AUUCAUAUUUUGCUAUAAAUAAAGACAAUUCUGUCCACAGUCGAAGUAAAUCGUGAAUUGAAGUAUAGUUUUCAGCAUGAAGUUUUCAGCUACUGUUUGUGUUUAUCUUUGUGAUUGUUUCGAUUGAUGCUAGAGGAAUAGGAAGGAGAGCAUGGCAUAAUUGUGAUUUCAAGUGUAAGCCGGUUAUUGAUUAUAUCUGCGCUGUGAAUCGGGUUGGAAAAUAUUUUAUAUUUAACAAUUUAUGCGAAAAGGAGAAAUACUCUUGUGAAAGAAAUAUUAUGCUACACCAACUGGAUUUGAGAAAAUGUGAGGGUAAAGUCUUCUGAUUAUAACCUC